AAAGAGGUGGGGUUUCAGGUGUCUCCGGAAGGUGGUGAUUGACUCCGCUGUCCUGGCGUCUUGAGGGAGCUUGUUCCACCAUUGGUGCCAGAGCAGCGAACAGUUUUGACUGGGCUGAGCGGGAACUGUGCUUCCGCAAAGCUAUGGAACCCUGACCUGUUCACCGGACGUGCUACCUGUCCCAGACCUGUUGUCCCAGACCUGCUGGAACCCUGACCUAUUCACCGGAUGUGCUACCUGUCCCAGACCUGCUGUUUUCAACUCUCUAGAGACAGCAGGAGCGGUA
rnacentral:lncRNA from 1 species